CAAAUUGGAAAAGGCUUAAACAUAAUCUCGUUUAAUGCUAGAUAAAUACCACGGCUGCACUUGUUACAUAUAAUUGCCAAUCCGUGUAUACUUAGCAUGUUUUACAACUGAACAAGCGUAUAGACACCAAUUGUUUACACAACCAGGAAUAACGGCUAUGUUAAACCUACAGCGACACUAAUCUUUAACACCGUAAUCUCUUAUUUGCUGCAAUGUUUUAGCUGGUAAAGGAUCAUCACUGGUUUCUUUUGUCGUUAGCAGGCCAGACCCAUAGGCAUAUGUAGACCAAACGUGUUUUUAUGACAUUCACUCACAUGACCCUGCGGUGGCUUUCAUUCUUGUUUCACGCUUUUACAAAUGUUAAAAAAAAUGUGCUUUCACCUCAAUGCCACAUAUGUAUAACUCUAUGUUAUUGCUGUGAUUAUCUCUGCUGUUGUGGCAACAUCUAUCAUCUUGUUAAACUAUGC